rnacentral:lncRNA from 1 species
ACUGUGGAAGUUUUUUCUUAUUUUCUUUCUGUUUGUUCUAUUAAUAAGAAAGGGAGAUUGAAGUUUCUGGACAUAAUUGUGAAUUUGUCCAUUUCUCCUUGCAAUUCUAUCAGUUUUUCUCUAACAUGGUUUGAAAUUCUGUUAUUAGGUACAUAUGCUGUUAGGAUUAUGUCCUCUUGAUGAAUUGACCCCUUUUUUAAAUUAGGAAAUGGUGUUCUUUAUCCCUGAUAAUAUUCUUUGCUCUGAAAUCUAUUUUACCUGACAUUAACAUAGUCACUCCAACUUCCUUUGUAUUAUUGAUAGCACGGUGUAUAUUUUUCAACCCAUUUACUUUUAACCUAUUUAUGACUAUUUUUAAAGCAUGUUUCUUGGAGGCAGCAUAUAGUUUGGUCUUGCUUUUAUAUUUAAUUCAAUGGUCUAUGCCUUUUAGUGGGAGGUAGACCAUUUACAUUUAAUGUGAUUAUUUAUAUGGGUAGGUUGAAAUCUAUCAUCUUGCUAUCUGAUCUGUCUCUUCCUUGUUCCCAUGUAUGUUCACCCUUCUUCCCGUAAUGACAGCAUCUGUCACCACCACAGUGUACUGUCAAAAUCAUCACCUUCAUUUUUGAAACAUUUUCAGUGGGUACAGAAUUUUAGGUUGAUAGUUAUUUUCUUGCAGUAGUUAAAAGACGUUCUACUCUUUUCUUGCUUGAAUUGUUUCCAAAAAGAAAUCUGUUAGUAUCCUUAUUUUUGUUCCUUUGUAUUGUGAUGUGUCGUUUCCCUCCUCUGGUGCUUUUUCCUCUUUAUCAUUAGGUUUGAGCAGUUGACUAUGAAGUGUCUUGGUAGCCUCAUAUUUCUUGUACUUGGAGUUCAUUGAGCUGCCUGGAUAUGUGGGUUUAUAGUUUUAAUCAAAUUUGGGGAAAUGUUGGCCAUUAUCUUCAGGGUUUUUUCCCCAUCUUCCCUUCCCUUUUAUUUCCCCAGGGUACCAAAUUUCACAUAUAUCAGACUGCUUGAAGUUGUCUCACAGUUAACUGAUGCUCUGGUCAUUUUUUAAAUUUUUCUUCUUACCCUCUGUUUUAUUUUGGAUAAUUUCUAUUAUUGCCAUUAAGUACACUAGUCUUUCUUCUGAAAUGUCUCAUCUGCUGUUAACUCCAUUCGGUGUGUGUAUAUAUAUGUAUAUAUAUAUAUAUCUCAAAUAGUGUAGUUUUCAUCUGUAGAAGAUUGAUUUGGGUCUUUUUUUGUAUCUUCUAGUCUCCAUUUGACAUUUAAACACAUAUACGCCGUUAAAAUAACUUUUUUAAUGUCCUCGUCUGCUAGUUUUUACAUCUGUAGCAAUCCUGGGUCUGUUCUGAUUGUUUGAUUUUUCUAAUCGUAAGUUGUAUUUUCAUGCUUCUUUGCAUUUCUGAGAAUUUUAAUCAGUGCUAGUCAUUGUGAAUAUUACCUUCUUGAGUGUUGGAUAUUUUUGAAUUUCUACAAAUAUUCUGGAACUUUGUUCUGGGAUGCAGUUAAAUUAGUUAGAAACUCUUUCAUCCUUUGGGGGUAUUUCUUUUAAGAUUUGUUCGACAGGACUAGAGAGGCAUUUAGCCUGGGGCUUACUGUUCCCCACUCCACAGACAAAACUCUUCUGAGCAGCCAGUCCAGCUGCAGCCUUGUGACAUGUGAACUUUGCAGACUGGCUAGUGGGAACCAACAUCAUUCCUGGCCCCGUGAGUGCCAGCUACUGUUUCCUCUACUCCUCCAGGUGGUUCCUCCCCGGUCUUGGAUAGUUUCUCCAUACACGUGCACUGAUCAGAACUCCACCGAAUGCGGGGCCCUCUGCAGCCCUCAGGUCUCUCUCUGAAGCUCUCUCCUUCCCAGAACUUCGUCCCGCACAGUUGAUCCACGCUCGUCUCUCUGGACUCUUAGCUCAGUCUCCUCAAGAGUCCGCCGGGCUCUGCCGGGUUCUCUUCCCUGUGCUGGCGCCUGGAGACUCUCUCCUGUGUUGAUUUCCCACCUCUCGAGAAUCACUGUCCUUUGUAGCUUCAUGUCCAGUAUCUUGGAAAUCACUGUUUCGUACAUUCUGUUUGGUUGUUGUUUUGUUGUUUCAGGCAGAAGAGAAAAUCUAGUCCCUGUUACUCCAUAUUGGCGGGAAUCAGAAGGUUUUUGCAGGUUGGAAUGAUCCAGGAGAGAGAGAAGGAGAAGAAGAGACACAGUGGGUGCUGCAAAGGGAAGAGGGUGUGACCUUACUAAGGAACGGGGAAACUUUCUCCAUUAUGAAGAAAGGAAGUCAGGUAUGUGGGUCCAGGUGUAAGAGGAUGAGUAGAAACAGUGGUUGGGAGAAGCGUCAUUUGGGUUCCCGCAGCAGACCCUGAGACAAGCAAGGAGUUGGGGGUAAGUCAUGCAUUUAGGAGGGGAUCCCAGACACACGAUUACAGGAGCGGGGAAGUGAGGCAGGGAGGGGAAGGCAGCGAAUGAAGGCAACAUUACCAAGCCAGUUACGGCUGCGGCUAACUGGGGCUUAAUGUGGGGAAAAUGCCUCCGAGUUCUCCUAGAUUAAGAGGAGAGAGAGCUGCAUUAUUUUUACGUCAACUCUCAUCAGUCCACGGUUGACUGAGGGGCAUAAAUUUCCCAGCGCUUCAGUGCCUGUCCGGGCAGAGCAGGCCCCUGUGGCCAGAGAGAGCCCUCGGGCAGAGAGGCCAGGUGCCGACUGAGUCUGGCCAGCCUGCCCUGAAAGGGAACGGCUUAAAGGGGCGAUGGGUGG